GACGUAGGGCGCGAGCGUUGUCCGGAUUUAUUGGGCGUAAAGAGCUCGUAGGCGGCUUGUCACGUCGGAUGUGAAAGCCCGGGGCUUAACCCCGGGUCUGCAUUCGAUACGGGCUAGCUAGAGUGUGGUAGGGGAGAUCGGAAUUCAUGGUGUAGCAGUGAAAUGCGUAGAGAUCAGUGAGAAGCCAGUGGCGAAGGCGGGUCUCUGGGACCGAGUCCUGACACUGAGACACGAAGGACCAGGGGGAGGGCAAAACGGG
rnacentral:rRNA from 1 species